UUCUCAUCAGUUCAGUAAUACAAUGCCCUUCAGUGUCCAUAUGAGCAUUUCAGUGGAGAAGAAAAGAAACUUUGCUACCUGGGAACUGAAGACUACUUAGUGAAGAUCCUGGUGUUACACAUCCAAUUGUUCACCUCCUUCCAAGACUAUGACAUUCCAGGAAACCUUCAGUGCUAAGAGGAACUGAUAUCUAGAGUAUCUCCUCGAGGAAGUACAACCGGUAAGUCCUCACCAGUGAGUUUAACGUUUGUUUCUAAAAUGUACAAAUAACAACAAAGAUCCC
rnacentral:lncRNA from 1 species